GUCCUCAUGUUGGUAUGUGAGGUCUGACCUGCCCACUGAAUGGUAUUUAAAGGGCCGCGGUAUACUAACCGUGCGAAGGUAGCAUAGUCAAUAGUCUUUUAAUUGGGGGCUUGAAUGAACGGUUGGACAUAAGGAAGGCUGUCUGCGGCUGGUUUAGGUGAAUUUAACUUUUGUGUGAAAAGGCAUUAAUGUUUUGAGGGGACGAUAAGACCCUAUAAAACUUGAUAAUUGAUUUAAGUUCUAUAAUUUGUGUGUAAUGGGGAAUUUGAGUGAGUUUAUUGUGCUGGGGCGGCAAGAAUAAAAUCUGUAACUGUUCUUUUUCAUGUAAUAGUUAUUGCUAGAAAGUUGACCCUGAAUUUUAGGUUAAAAGAUUAAGUUACUUUAGGGAUAACAGCGUUAUUUCUCUUGAGAGUUCAUAUCGACAGGGAUAUUUGCGACCUCGAUGUUGAAUUAAAGUUUUCUCCGGGAGUAGAAGUUCGGGUGAUAGGUCUGUUCGACCUUUAAAGCUUUACAUGAUUUGAGUUCAAACCGGUGUGAG
rnacentral:rRNA from 1 species